AGAGUUUGAUCCUGGCUCAGGAUGAACGCUGGCGGCGUGCUUAACACAUGCAAGUCGAACGAGCCUUCGGGCUAGUGGCGGACGGGUGAGUAACGCGUGAGAAUCUGCCCUCAGGAGGGGGAUAACGGCUGGAAACGGCCGCUAAUACCCCAUAUGCCGCGAGGUGAAAUGAGAAAUCGCCUGAGGAUGAGCUCGCGUCUGAUUAGCUAGUUGGUGGGGUAAGAGCCUACCAAGGCAUCGAUCAGUAGCUGGUCUGAGAGGAUGAUCAGCCACACUGGGACUGAGACACGGCCCAGACUCCUACGGGAGGCAGCAGUGGGGAAUUUUCCGCAAUGGGCGCAAGCCUGACGGAGCAACGCCGCGUGAGGGAUGAAGGCCUCUGGGCUGUAAACCUCUUUUCUCAAGGAAGAAGAACUGACGGUACUUGAGGAAUAAGCCACGGCUAAUUCCGUGCCAGCAGCCGCGGUAAUACGGGAGUGGCAAGCGUUAUCCGGAAUUAUUGGGCGUAAAGCGUCCGCAGGCGGUCUUGAAAGUCUGUUGUUAAAGCGUGGAGCUCAACUCCAUUUCAGCAAUGGAAACUAGAAGACUAGAGUGUGGUAGGGGCAGAGGGAAUUCCCGGUGUAGCGGUGAAAUGCGUAGAUAUCGGGAAGAACACCAGUGGCGAAGGCGCUCUGCUGGGCCAUAACUGACGCUCAUGGACGAAAGCCAGGGGAGCGAAAGGGAUUAGAUACCCCUGUAGUCCUGGCCGUAAACGAUGAACACUAGGUGUCGGGGGAAUCGACCCCCUCGGUGUCGUAGCCAACGCGUUAAGUGUUCCGCCUGGGGAGUACGCACGCAAGUGUGAAACUCAAAGGAAUUGACGGGGGCCCGCACAAGCGGUGGAGUAUGUGGUUUAAUUCGAUGCAACGCGAAGAACCUUACCAGGGUUUGACAUCCUGCGAAUCUUUUGGAAACAGAAGAGUGCCUUCGGGAGCGCAGAGACAGGUGGUGCAUGGCUGUCGUCAGCUCGUGUCGUGAGAUGUUGGGUUAAGUCCCGCAACGAGCGCAACCCACGUCUUUAGUUGCCAGCAUUAAGUUGGGCACUCUAGAGAGACCGCCGGUGAUAAACCGGAGGAAGGUGUGGAUGACGUCAAGUCAUCAUGCCCCUUACAUCCUGGGCUACACACGUACUACAAUGCUACGGACAGAGGGCAGCAAACUCGCGAGAGCUAGCAAAUCCCAUAAACCGUGGCUCAGUUCAGAUCGUAGGCUGCAACUCGCCUACGUGAAGGAGGAAUCGCUAGUAAUCGCAGGUCAGCAUACUGCGGUGAAUACGUUCCCGGGCCUUGUACACACCGCCCGUCACACCAUGGAAGUUGGCCAUGCCCGAAGUCGUUACUCCAACCCUUGUGGAGGAGGACGCCGAAGGUGGGGCUGAUGACUGGGGUGAAGUCGUAACAAGGUA
rnacentral:rRNA from 1 species